UUGGAAUCGUGUUUCGGCACGAGUUGUAAAUUGCAGGUUGGAGUCUUUGUGGAAGCGUGUGUCCAAGUCCCUUGGAACAGGGCGCCAUUGAGGGUGAGAGCCCCGUGGGAUGCGCGCGGAAGCAACAAGGCCCUUCUGACGAGUCGAGUUGUUUGGGAAUGCAGCUCUAAGCGGGUGGUAAAUUCCAUCUAAGGCUAAAUACUGGCGAGAGACCGAUAGCGAACAAGUACUGUGAAGGAAAGAUGAAAAGCACUUUGAAAAGAGAGUGAAACAGCACGUGAAAUUGUUGAAAGGGAAGGGUAUUGGGCCCGACAUGGGGAUUGCGCAUCUCUGCUCCUUGUGGGCGGGGCGCUGUGCUUUUCCUGGGCCAGCAUCGGUUUUUGCCGCAGGAGAAGGGGUACUGGAAUGUGGCUCCUCGGAGUGUUAUAGCCAGUGCCAGAUGCUGCGUGCGGGGACCGAGGGCUGCGACAUCUGUCUCGGAUGCUGGCACAACGGCGCAAUACCGCCCGUCUU
rnacentral:rRNA from 1 species